rnacentral:rRNA from 1 species
AUUGAACGCUGGCGGCAUGCCUUACACAUGCAAGUCGAACGGUAACGCGGGGCAACCUGGCGACGAGUGGCGAACGGGUGAGUAAUAUAUCGGAACGUGCCCAGUAGUGGGGGAUAGCCCGGCGAAAGCCGGAUUAAUACCGCAUACGACCUGAGGGUGAAAGCGGGGGAUCGCAAGACCUCGUGCUAUUGGAGCGGCCGAUAUAAGAUUAGCUAGUUGGUGGGGUAAAAGCCUACCAAGGCGACGAUCUGUAGCUGGUCUGAGAGGACGACCAGCCACACUGGGACUGAGACACGGCCCAGACUCCUACGGGAGGCAGCAGUGGGGAAUUUUGGACAAUGGGCGCAAGCCUGAUCCAGCCAUGCCGCGUGCGGGAAGAAGGCCUUCGGGUUGUAAACCGCUUUUGUCAGGGAAGAAACGCGCUGAGUUAAUACCUUGGCGUAAUGACGGUACCUGAAGAAUAAGCACCGGCUAACUACGUGCCAGCAGCCGCAGUAACAC